CUGAUUGAUUCUGUCAGCGCUAUAUGCUCAGUUUAAAGAUUAAGCCAUGCAUGUCGAGUUCAUCUUUGAAGAGAAACUGCGAACGGCUCAUUAGAGCAGAUGUCAUUUAUUCGGAACGUCCUUUUGGAUAACUGCGGUAAUUCUGGAGCUAAUACAUGCAAAUAAACCCUGACUUUUGAAAGGGUGCAAUUAUUAGAGCAAAUCAAUCACUUUCGGGUGCAGUUUGCUGACUCUGAAUAACGCAGCAUAUCGGCGGCUUGUUCGCCGAUAUUCCGAAAAAGUGUCUGCCCUAUCAACCUGAUGGUAGUCUAUUAGUCUACCAUGGUUAUUACGGGUAACGGAGAAUAAGGGUUCGACUCCGGAGAGGGAGCCUUAGAAACGGCUACCACAUCCAAGGAAGGCAGCAGGCGCGAAACUUAUCCAAUCUUGAACAGAUGAGAUAGUGACUAAAAAUAAAAAGACCAUUCCUAUGGAACGGUCAUUUCAAUGAGUUGAUCAUAAACCUUUUUUCGAGGAUCAAGUGGAGGGCAAGUCUGGUGCCAGCAGCCGCGGUAAUUCCAGCUCCACUAGUGUAAAUCGUCAUUGCUGCGGUUAAAAAGCUCGUAGUUGGAUCUGAGUUACAUGCAGUGAUUCGCCUUUGGCGUUAAUCGCUGUUGUAACUAUUUGCUGGUUUUCUAUUGAGGUUUCGGCUUCUUUAGUGGCUAGCGAGUUUACUUUGAAUAAAUUAGAGUGCUCAGAACAAGCGUUUGCUUGAAUGGUCGAUCAUGGAAUAAUAAAAGAGGACUUCGGUUCUAUUUAUUGGUUCAGGAACUGAAAUAAUGGUUAAGAGGGACAAUUCGGGGGCAUUCGUAUCCCUGCGCGAGAGGUGAAAUUCGUGGACCGCAGGGGGACGCCCUAAAGCGAAAGCAUUUGCCAAGAAUGUCUUCAUUAAUCAAGAACGAAAGUCAGAGGUUCGAAGGCGAUUAGAUACCGCCCUAGUUCUGACCGUAAACUAUGCCAUCUAGCGAUCCGAUGGGGUAUAGUUGCCUUGUCGAGGAGCUUCCCGGAAACGAAAGUCUUUCGGUUCCU
rfam:Haemonchus contortus, ISE/inbred ISE, WGS project CAVP01000000 data, contig: Hcontortus_38254